rnacentral:rRNA from 1 species
UACGAAGGGGGCUAGCGUUGCUCGGAAUCACUGGGCGUAAAGGGUGCGUAGGCGGGUCUUUUAAGUCAGGGGUGAAAUCCCGAGGCUCAACCUCGGAACUGCCUUCGAUACUGGCGACCUUCGAGUCCGGGAGAGGUGAGUGGAACUCCGAGUGUAGAGGUGGAAAUUCGUAGAUAUUCGCAAGAACACCAGUGGCGAAGGCGGCUCACUGGCCCGAUACUGACGCUGAGGCACGGAAAGCG